GUUCAUUCAAUGCUCAUAUAUCUCCUCUCUUUUAGGAUUUCUGUUAUUUCUAGAGAAGGUCUUAAUGAGAUGGUGUCUCUUACUUGCUAGUAAUUACAUGCCGUUUAGAUUGUAUCUUUGUUAACUCACUUUCCUUCCAUUUGCAUGAGCUCAAUGAAUGUAUUGAAAAAUGGGGAAUAAAUAUGACCCAGCACACACCCUCCAAGAGCUCAACCCGCACUGAGAGAGAUGAAGAUGAGAGAUGCACAGUAGCUGUCUGUCAUGACUGGUAGAGACCUCUUUCACCUCACGGGGUGUUGAUUCUGCGGAAAGGAAGGUUGAUCUGAAGGAAGAGGCUUUUUUCUCCAGCAAUUGCUACUGCUAUUGUAACCUUGGGAAAGAGCCUUGUGAAUCUUGUGAGUUUUGGGAGCUUCCUAAACCUUAAGUAAAACUUCCAGUGUAGCAAACAGAUCUGUUCUGCG
rnacentral:lncRNA from 1 species